rnacentral:tRNA from 1 species
UGGGGUGUGGCUCAGUAGUAAAGCACUAGCCUAACAUGCAGAAGCCCUGGGUUCAAUUCCUAGCACUGAAA